AGAGUUUGAUCCUGGCUCAGAACGUACGCUGGCGGCACGCCUAACACAUGCAAGUCGAACGAAGUAGCAAUACUUAGUGGCAGACGGGUGAGUAACAUGUAGGUAUCUGCCCUUUGGCCUGGAAUAACACGAGGAAACUUGUGCUAAUACCGGAUAAGUCUUUACGGAGAAAGCUUUAUGCACCAUUGGAUGAGCCUGCACUUGAUUAGUUUGUUGGUGGGGUAAUGGCCUACCAAGACUGUGAUCAAUAGCUGAUUUGAGAGGAUGAUCAGCCACAUUGGGACUGAGACACGGCCCAAACUCCUACGGGAGGCAGCAGUGGGGAAUCUUGCACAAUGGAGGAAACUCUGAUGCAGCGAUGCCGCGUGAGUGAAGAAGGCCCUUGGGUUGUAAAGCUCUUUCGUCGGGGAAGAAAAUGACUGUACCCGAAUAAGAAGGUCCGGCUAACUUCGUGCCAGCAGCCGCGGUAAUACGAAGGGACCUAGCGUAGUUCGGAAUUACUGGGCUUAAAGAGUUCGUAGUGGUUGAAAAAGUUAGUGGUGAAAUCCCAGAGCUUAACUCUGGAACUGCCAUUAAAACUUUUCAGCUAGAGUAUGAUAGAGGAAAGCAGAAUUUCUAGUGUAGAGGUGAAAUUCGUAGAUAUUAGAAAGAAUACCAAUUGCGAAGGCAGCUUUCUGGAUCAUUACUGACACUGAGGAACGAAAGCAUGGGUAGCGAAGAGGAUUAGAUACCCUCGUAGUCCAUGCCGUAAACGAUGUGUGUUAGACGUUGGAAAUUUAUUUUCAGUGUCGCAGCGAAAGCGAUAAACACACCGCCUGGGGAGUACGACCGCAAGGUUAAAACUCAAAUGAAUUGACGGGGACCCGCACAAGUAGUGGAGCAUGUGGUUUAAUUCGAAGAUACGCGCAGAACCUUACCAACACUUGACAUGUUCGUCGCGACUCUAAGAGAUUAGAGUUUUCGGUUCGGCCGGACGAAACACAGGUGCUGCAUGGCUGUCGUCAGCUCGUGUCGUGAGAUGUUGGGUUAAGUCCCGCAACGAGCGCAACCCUCACUUUUAGUUGCCAUCAUUAAGUUGGGCACUCUGAAAGAACUGCCAGUGAUAAGCUGGAGGAAGGUGGGGAUGACGUCAAGUCCUCAUGGCCCUUACGUGUUGGGCUACACACGUGCUACAAUGGUAUCUACAACAGGAAGCAAGACUGCGAAGUUAAGCAAAUCCCUAAAAGAUACCUCAGUUCGGAUUGCACUCUGCAACUCGAGUGCAUGAAGCUGGAAUUACUAGUAAUCGUGGAUCAGCGUGCCACGGUGAAUGCGUUCCCGGGUCUUGUACACACCGCCCGUCACACCAUGGGAGUUGGUUCUACCUUAAGGCAAGGUUUCAAACCCUUGACCACGGUAUAGUCAGCGACUGGGGUGAAGUCGUAACAAGGUAACC
rnacentral:rRNA from 2 species